AUGUUGUUUUGAAUCGAAAAAUCGUCUGCUGAUACACGUUUUGAUUUUCCUUUGCUCGCUAGAAAUUAUUGCAAAAUGCUGUAUUUGGUUGGUUUAGGUUUAGGCGACCCUAAAGAUAUUACAGUCAGAGGUCUAGAAAUAGUAAAAGCAGCAGAUGAAGUAUAUCUGGAAGCCUAUACAUCUAUAUUAACAGUUGGAAAGGAGGCCUUGGAACAAUUUUAUGGCAGAGAAGUUAUUUUGGCUGACAGAGAGUUUGUGGAACAAAAGGCUGAAUCGUUUAUUGAAUCAGCUAGAAACAGCAAUAUCGCUUUCUUAGUUGUCGGGGAUCCAUUUGGUGCCACAACUCACACAGACCUUGUGUUAAGAGCCAAAGAAGUUGGAGUUCCCUUCCAAGUGGUGCACAACACUUCCAUUCUCAAUGCUGUGGGUUGUUGUGGACUUCAGUUGUACAGUUUUGGAGAAACUGUGUCAAUACCAUUUUGGACAGAUACAUGGAAACCAGAUAGUUUCUUUGAGAAAAUUGAAGGAAACUUGGAUAGAGGAUUGCACACCUUGUGUUUACUUGAUAUCAAGGUGAAAGAACAGACAAUUGAGAAUAUGAUGAAGAAUAGACCAAUCUUCGAACCCCCACGAUUUAUGAGCAAUCAGCAAGCUGCCGAACAGCUGAUCCAAGUCGUCAAAUCCAAAGACAACGCGUCAAAAUUGACUGGAGACACUUUAUGUGUUGGUGUGGCACGAGUUGGCUGGCCGGACCAGAAGAUUAGUGUUUGUACGCUGAAUGAAAUGUUGAAUUGUGAGUUGGGCCAACCACUUCACUCUUUGGUCAUCGUGGGAAAAAUCCAUCCUCUCGAAUUGGACUUUUUACGCAUGUUCAAUCCCGAUAUCACCCCGCCCGACAGUUCCUAACGGAAUACGCGGGCAGGCAAAAUGUUGGAGAAUACCUCGCUGGAACGAAAUGACCGUGUCGCUUAUCUCCUCGAUCAAGUGCACCCGCCUUCCCUUGAUACCCAUCACUGGCGAAGCGAAAUAGCCGUUUUGGGAGGCCCAUAUUAUGUCAGACAGUUCAUUUCAAAUAGUCAUGAGAUUCUACUCGUUUUGUACCUUUUCCAGAAUCGGCGUUCCUGAUGACUACUUCGUCUUUGAUAGAGUUCUUGGCCGGGGGGACACUGCCGCUAUUCGUGAUGUUAUAUUUGCCAGAGGACUUGACCACUUCACCAGGUAACAGCAGUGGCAAGGGACUAACCGGAGGCGAAGAUGGCUCGUUCUGCCCCGCAUUCUGGCCGACACUAUCUAUAGUGCCAGGGGCUUGCUAUUACCGAUAUGCAAAACAAGGCUAUAAGUAGGGCAGAGCAUCAAUCAAAUAACAUUAUAAGUAAGACAUACCACCAACUCAUUGAACUUUGAUUGAUAGUAGUUAUUAACUUGCUCUUGGGCUGACCAACGUCCAGCUCUCAGCUCUACCACCUCCAAAAGGUGCAAGCGAGAAACUUUAUCCAGGCUGUCAUCCCUGCCUGCAUUACGAAGAUGAAUGAAGACACGAUCCAGUUGAUCUGAAAACACAAAUAUGUAACUUAAAGAGUUCAAGAUGGGUGAAAUUUGGAGAAGAACUAAAUUACCUUUACAGUUAAUUUCUAAUUGAGCUCCAAAAUUCUUGAGAUUUGCACAAAGAGUGAGGACAGCAGGACGAAGAUCUUUAUCAGAUGAAUUUGACUGUGCCAAUUCAAUGAAAUUUUCCAUGAAUUGGACAACCUCUGAAACUAAAUCAACCAUAUCGAUAUUAAUACGUUGAAGGGAAAAUAUAAUAAAUGAAUGUUUGACGAACUAUUUUGAAAAAUUCCACUAGCUCCUUGUGUAACAUCUUUGUUCUUGAGCAGAAGUUGUGGGUUCUUGGUUCUCACAUUCCUGGGAGCUCUGGCAAAAGGUGUUCCUAUCACAGACGUCAUGUUGACUAAGGCAAGUUACUCCUGUUUAAGAGAGAAAACCAAAUUCGUUGUAAAAUGUGCCACGAAUAUGUCUAAACGUCGAGGUAAACUUUGGGCCUUGAAUUUCCCCUUCUUUCUUCGUAUAACGUGGUCGUGCACACCUCAUAACAGGACGAAUAAUUUUGUUGUUUACUUGAAUUGUAUAUUUACCUUUGACUUUUUGAGUAACUUAAAAGCAGCUGUGAAGCUCGCCCAAAAUAUUUGACGACGCCCUUAAACAAACCACGUCUUCUUCUCACAUCUGCUGUCCUCACUGGCUGUGUAAGACGAAUUCGACCGUGUAUAAUAACGUUGGCACGACACGAUUAGAGUUACACAACCAAGUAAUUAUUUUGAUCGACAGAUGUCGCGGGACUUUCAACACAGUUCAAAUUCUUCUUUUUUUACAUGAAAACCGGAAAACUAAAACUAUAAUAACUAAAUAGAAUUUUUCUUUUAUUUCCUUUCUUUAUUUGCGCCAUAAAAUAUAUAAGCGGAUUUAAAUUUGAAGAAAAUCAAUUUGGCACAGAUAAUGUUGCUUUUCUCAAGUUCCCCAAGACAAAAGGAAUUUCCUGUUCGCGGUUUUAUAGCUACAGGGGAUCAAAUGUAACAUGGACUCGAAGCCGCUUCGAUUUUCUCAUGUUGAAUGGACUCCGAUCAAAAUCAACCAAUACCGCUGGAUUAUUAACACCUUUGAAGUUCCAGGGCGUGGCAAUUAGUUCCACGAUCCUCGUUACAAGUCCUUUGUUUGAAGUUUCCUCCGCUAAAAUGGACUCUACUGUAACGCCGCUUCGAAAUUGACUCAUCUGUCCUUUUAAAAGAUGUUCGUUAUGUUAGCAACAGUUUCACUUUUCUGUUCAAUUGCAAAUCUGUAUUGAAAGGGUGCAGUGAAUUUUAAGUCAAAUUGGACGUCACACCCAUUUUUCAGAAAAUGGAAUCUAGUUCAUCUAAAGAGUUGCCUUCGAAAGAAUUAUUUUCAAAGCUCCAAUGGGAAAGUGCAGAGAUGAUCAAAAUACCCGACAAACAUUACACCGAUACGUAUCAUCUAUUCCACCGACGAGUUGGCGAUGUUAGCUCAAAACUGUUGGCAAAUUCAUCCGAUUUGGCAGGAGAUAAAACGGUACAAGUUUCUGCUGGAAUUGGGUCCUUCAUAUCUGGUAGAGUGGGUCAUGUAUUGAAUUAUUUCUCUCCGGCAGAGCAAUAUCCUCUUCCUGAUCACGAGCAAGUUCGUUCGCUAGACACUACGUCUUUCAAAGAUAUGACCGAAAUUAUUGUUCAAAAUUGUAAACCAAGUCAUUCAGAAACUUUUUCCAAGACAACCAAAGCGACCAAUUUAAAGUCUUUAAAGAAAUUUGUUAAGGAUGCCACGGAAUCUAUUGCUGAAAACUUUGGGGUCAUUCCUCCGACAAUUUAUUUAAAUUUGUUAAAAUCCAUCAUAUCCAUUCUGGAUGAUGCGGAAUUGCUAGAAAGUGAGGAAGAAACGAAAAUGGAAAAAGAGAACAAUUCAAUUGAAGUUCACAAAACGGGCCUCGUCGUUAUCGCUUAUUACCGCUACGAGUUCCAUGGUAAAAUCACGCAAAACUGUUGUUCUACUACCCACGACGCUAAUGUAGCGAUUGAAGUGAAAGUCUGGAAGUUUUCCUCUACUGCCGACUUGGAGAAAGAAUACGACAAAAUCACACAUCAGAAUGGAGAUGCUCCUCCUCCUUCAGUGCCUGGUGUAGGAGACCUAUUUUGAACUUAAAAAUUCUUGGUUAAUUAAAUGUUUAAUUCUUCAAUUGCAAGGCAACAGCGUGAUCCAAGAGUGCGGCUCCCUUUCAAAAUAAAAAUUAGAAAUGUUGAAACAGAAA